ensembl:lncRNA
AUUGAAUCCACCACUAGUCGACGCCGAUUGCGUCACAGCGACGCGCCAAGUGCUGUCCCAAUUCCAAGGGUCCUUCAAAUGCGGCCUACGAAUGCAGCCUUCUUUUCCCGGAUUUGAAGGAUGCAUCGGCUGUAUCCUUCACGGCCCAACGUAUCCCAAGAUCCUUCACGGCCCAACGUAUCCCUCCCAAGAUUCAUUGCGCAUUCAAUCAAUGGAGAUGGCGGAGAAUGGCGAUUUAAGUUCUGCAUUUAAAUGGAGCCAGCAGCAUACUGCUCGAUUUAUUCUAUUGAGGGGGAAGAACGAUGACCUGUUCACCGGGAUGAAAUACUCAGCAAGUGUGGCUUGGGGGAUUGCAAGUAUCCAGGGUCAGGCCAGGGGUUGGGGGGGAAACCCAGUGCUGCCACUUGGCCCUGGUUUGUCCCUAUGGAUAAGGUAUUGGGACAGAGGCAUUCCACCAACCCCCCUGUCCUAAUUGCCUCCAUCCCUGAGAACACACCAGGGCCAAGUACAGCAAGUACAGCAGUGGUGGAUCAGGAGGUGGAGGACAAGGAUCAGGAGGAGGAAAGACAGCGAGGGCCAAGGUCCAGAAAGAGGGACAGAGGAAGACAUGUUCCAGAGUCGCUCACUAUCUUCCAAAAAGGACUCAAGACUCACCUGUUCAGAGUCCACCUCGACUGCAUAACCACCCUCCCCCUUCUGGCAACCAUUGUACACUGUGUUGUAUUGUAUUGUAUUAUUGUACUUAACUGUGUAGCAACUGCAGUAGCUGCUAUCAUGGCUGUAACACAGGGAAUUGGUUAGCCUAGCGAUUGUGGUACUUGCACUUGGUUCUAUGAACAUCCUUUCUGUACCGACAGCGAUAUAUUGAUGCACUUCUUAUGACAAAUGUACUUAUUGUAAGUCGCUUUGGAUAAAAGCGUCUGCAAAAUGCCCUAAAUGUAAAUGUUAAAUGUAAAUGUUCCAGUUAAUAAAAGAGGACAUGAGGCUACAAAGGGAGGCAGAGGAGAGAAGAGCCCAGG